AUGUUCUCUACACAACAUAAUAGUAAUGAAUUCAGUCUGGAAGCUCAUCUAUAAAGGAAAUUUCUUCGUCAAAAUCUCUCUAUUAAGAUGUUAGUUCAUGAUAAUCUUAUCCUUGACAUGUUUCCUUGAGAACCCCUCUAGAAAUGCAUAGCCUUUCCUUAGUGACCCUAGGGAAAGGUUAUGGGUAAAGAAAGAGAGGCAUUUGUGUAGUCAGUCAAUCCCCCCUUUGUCUUUGCGAAAAUGAAUUCCCCAACCACCUCCUUCUAUGAUGCCUAGAGGGGAGAAGGUUAUGGGAUUUAGUUACUAGCUUGAUGGGCAUUUAUUGGAUUUGAGUGACUCUGGUUUUCUUUGAAUUACUUGCCUGCAAUGGUAUCCAGAUUGACAAUGAGGAAGAAGUUGAUUGCCCUAGCCCCUCACUCUAUUUUCCAAACCAUUUGGAGAGUGUAAUAGAAAAGUUUUUUAUGGUCUUGGAUCUAACUUUUCUAUGACCAGAGAUUGUUGGUUCCAGAAUUUGUGCAAUUUGUGCACAGGUCAUGCUCUUCAAAUGGAGAAGAUCUUGCAGACCUUUUAGACAUUUUGUUGAUCCAUGUGGAAAAGAAUGUUGGUCAGCCAUAUAUUAACCUUAAUAACAUAAAAUCUAUAUUUUCAAAACCAGAAUGAAUCUGUAUCUUUCCUGAUUACAUUGAAAUAGUCUUUCCUAAAUUAAUGGAAUUCUAUGUUUUAGGUGAUGAAUUUAGGAAAUUCAUCAUUCUCCUUAAGUCUACAUGCUGUAUAAAUUCCUUGUAUAUUCUUCAUAGUAAAGCGAAUAUUUUUUCCCAAUUUUCCUCAAUCCUUUACUGCAAAUAUUCUUGCUUUUGUACUUGUUGGGUGGCCCGCUCUUGCUGCCUUUUGUCUCGACUAUAUUUUUUCUCCUAAAAGAAGCUACCAAUUACUGAUUCCUGAUCAAUUGUGAGAUUAAAGAUAUUUACUGUCAUACCACCAAUCCAUCAAAAAGUUCAAUAGAUGACUAUUGCAAACUUUGAACUUCAAAAAAGCAGUAACCAAAUACCAGUCCUUGGUAAUCCACUUCCAUAAACUGGUUCAUAAGGUUGUCUAGUGCAGCUGGACCUCCAUCCCCAAUAAAGAUUUACUAUUACUCAUUUAUCUAAUAGCAAGACCCCCACGCAUCAAAAGGCAGUGUAUCAGGACCAGAUGGUAGAGCCUUCUUCAAAUCACCAAGAAUUGUAUUCCAAGGCAGAGCCAAGUAUUCAAAAGGCAGCAUGCAACUUUUUUUUUUUUGUCUAACUCACCAAUCUCCUUUUGUCAAAUCCUUUUUUUAAUUUUAGCUUUAUGCCAAGCAUAACAGUUUCUAUACUGUGAUUAAAUUCAUUACAAGAACAAUCUUUCACACCACUUUAUAGCAAGUGUAACCUUCAAAACCCGCCUCUGUCGGGACCAGUCAUGACAGUAAGUGCCUCAGGUGUCAGCGGGAACCUUGAGGUAUUAACAGAGGAGA
rnacentral:lncRNA from 1 species